rfam:TPA: Bos taurus chromosome 12, whole genome shotgun sequence.
UCCCUGGUGGCUCAGACGGUAAAGCAUCUGCCUGCAAUGUGGGAGUCCCAGGUUCAAUCCCUGGGUUGGGAA